rnacentral:lncRNA from 1 species
CUGCAGGCUGGAAGAUCCUGAAACUUGGGUUUCAAGAGAGGCCUGUGUGCGUUUUUUCCUUAGCAUUAAGAAGCUGGGCCCCCGAGGCGACGUGGAUGUGAACAUGGAGGACAAGAAAGACGAGCACAAGCAGCAGGGUGAACUGUACAUGUGGGACUCCAUCGACCAGAAAUGGACUCGGCACUACUGCGCCAUUGCCGACGCCAAGCUGUCCUUCAGUGACGACAUUGAGCAAGCCAUGGAGGAGGAACUGCCCCAGGUAAGAGGAGACCAGCUGCUCUUGCCUCAAUAAGCUGCCUGUCCUGGGGCCGACAUCUCCUGC